GACGAACGCUGGCGGCGUGCUUAACACAUGCAAGUCGAACGAUGAACCCGGAGCUUGCUCUGGGGGAUUAGUGGCGAACGGGUGAGUAACACGUGAGUAACCUGCCCUGGACUCUGGGAUAAGCGUUGGAAACGACGUCUAAUACCGGAUAGGACCUUGGAUCGCAUGAUCUGGGGUGGAAAGUUUCUUCGGUCUGGGAUGGACUCGCGGCCUAUCAGCUUGUUGGUGAGGUAAUGGCUCACCAAGGCGUCGACGGGUAGCCGGCCUGAGAGGGUGACCGGCCACACUGGGACGGAGACAGGGACCAGACUCCUACGGGCGGCAGCAGUGGGGAGUAUUGCACACUGGGCGAAAGCCUGCUGCAGCAACGCCGCGUGCGGGAUGACGGCCUUCGGGUUGUAAACCGCUUUUAGUAGGGAAGAAGGGCUUCGGCUUGACGGUACCUGCAGAAAAAGGACCGGCUAACUACGUG
rnacentral:rRNA from 1 species